CAUACUGUGAUGGUGAAUUUGCAUUUUGUUGUGUUUUCUAACUGUCCCUGUUUGUUCAGAAUAUAAUCCCUCCAUGCUUACCCCAGUGAUAUUUUGGGUGCCUCAAUUGUUAUUUGCAGUUGAUGCAGGAAGAAAAUCUAGCUCUAAUUUUUUGAAAGAGCCCAUAGUUGGACAGAAAUGGUUUAUUUUACGAUUAGGUUUUCGUUUUGACAGAGGUUUCAAAGAACGUUGAAAGACCAGUAUUUGUACUUGUCUAAAAUUGCAAUGACAUAGGAUAGUUUGGUUUUGAGCAGAAUCCAUGUAGUAGUAUACUACUAACAUUAUUUUUUUCUACUAAAACCCCUGUUAUCAGUUGUAUUUUUAUUCAAUUUGUGAUGAGCAUUGCAUCUUGGUUUUAGUAGUUUUUAUGUAUGUUUCAUAGAAUUACAUGUCCCAUUGUGGUAUUAGGAGUAUCAAAUAUCAACUCUGAUAUCAGCUAUGGAUUUUAGCUGAAUUCCAGCUGUUUGAGGUUUAUUUAAAGUAGAAGACAAUAUUUAGACAUAAGCUUUAAGCUAUCAGAUGUCUUCUUAGUUAGGCAGUGCGUGUCUAACUCUUUAGUUAUUAUUACUUGUAAACUCUGUAUGUGUCUAAAUUCUUUACAUGCUUGAUCUUAAGGAGAAAAUAGUCAGCAUUUGAAGAGUGUUUUAAAGAGACUGAUUGGUCAAUUGCUUUUAUUAAAAUAAAUUCUGGAGCAUUCUGUUGAGAUGUGAGUGGUAAGCAUUUUGAAAGGGUUUCUUUUCCAUUCUAAAUAAGCAUUU